CUCAAUGGUGGGCUGGGCGAGGGCACCUCAGGGUGCGCCGGUUCAGUAUGCCCGGUAGUUCCAACCUCGCUCAGUCUGCCACCCAU
rnacentral:antisense_RNA from 1 species